rnacentral:tRNA from 1 species
GCCCUAGUAGCUUAGUACUUAAAGCAUCGGUCUUGUAAUCCGGAGAUUGAAGGUUAAAAUCCUUCCUAGUGCC